UACGGAGUGUGCAAGCGUUACUCGGAAUCACUGGGCAUAAAGCGCGCGUAGGCGGGUAUUCAAGUCGCGUGUGAAAAGCCCCCCCGGCUCAACUGGGGGAGGGUCACGCGAUACUGAUCGACUCGAAGGCAGGGAGAGGGGUAGUGGAAUUCCCCGGUGUAGUGGUGAAAAUGCGUAGAUAUCGGAAAGGAACAUCAGUGGCGAAA
rnacentral:rRNA from 1 species